UAUAAUUUUCCUGCAGCUUAGUAAAGAUCUAUUAUACUUCUUUCUAGCCAUCGUAAUUCGGUCAAUAGAUUUCAAUUCGGUCAAUGUCAACAUUCUCUUCGCACAAAAUAAAUAAAUAUGAAUAAUUAAAUGUCAAAAAAAUUUUCCUACUCGGGAAGUAGAUAAACGCAAUUCGAUUUUUACAUAGUGAAUCACAUGUGGAAUCAAAUGGGGAAAAAAGAAUCAAAAAGAAAAAAAAGAAAUAAAAGCAAAAAGGAAAGUUCCCGUAAACGGUAGUAUCGAUCCAAAAUUAUUGCUAACAUUAUGAAGAGAUAAUCGGGGAUAUUAGCUUCGUGAAUAUAUAGAAAAGAGAAGGUUAAACGAAACAGCGCAUGCUCGAGUCGAUAUAAGAGAUGUUGCUAGCCAUCCGCGGAAGUUGAAUAAACCGUUUAUUCCGUUUCGAAUCGUGCUACCAGCAAGUUCCUGCGAGUGUCCAAAUAAUAUUCCAAACAGAAACGAAUCAGAAUAAUAUAUAAGCUCCUGACCAGUGAAAAUAGUGGAUAGUAUCUAGAAGAUUCUGCAGAACACACUAUCGAUAGUUGUAAAAGUUCUGAUUAUCAAUGGAAGCACAAUUAUAUUCCCUAUUACUUAUCGAAAGGAACAUUCGAUACAUCCAUUAUUUCAUAUAUGUAUCGAUUUAUAUUUAUAUAUAUGUUCACUUAUGCAUCUGUUUUUUCUAUAAUGCCUUACUUACGAUGUAUAUAUUAGAGGCAAACUACGAGCGCAUAUAUUUAUAUUUUUAUCUAUUAUUUCGUGAAUUAUCUGCGCUGUCUUAUUAAUUAAGAAGGAAGUAAAUAGAUGAUACAUCAUUUGUAAUCAAAUUAUUGAUAAACAUUUACUUCUUCGGAAUAUGAGGACAAAAUUGGCGAAAAAAAAGAAAAUAAUUAAAAGUUAAUCGAAAACUUGGAAUAAUUUAUUUUUAAUCGAGGCAACAUCGUGUCCAGACCAAACUUUAAGAAAGAAAAGAUAAUUAACAAUUAAACCGUAGUACCUGAACAUUGGCUGCAUAUUUGGAUUCGAUAAUGGGUUUCGCUAAUAUUAUUCAUUAUUUUCUUGGUAAGUUGCAUCUUAUUUAAAUUUUAUAGUAUCUAACGCGAAGAUUAAUUUUCAUAAGAUUUUGUUCUUUAUAAUGCAUGCUAUGGACAAUAGGUUAAUUUUAUAUCCUAUCUAUAAGUUAUAUUAGAGACGCUACGUUAUGCAUUAUUUUAUACAACUUCAUAUCCAAUACUACGAUAUAUUGUUUUAUAGUAGAUUAUAGAAAAUUGCGUAGUUUCUUAUUAUUUCUUCAUGCUAUAGUUAACUUAUUUUUAUUAUUAUUAGAUACUAUAUUUUACGUGUGAAUUAUCUUUUACUUGUUGCAUAAUUUUGAAUUAUUGUGUAAUAUUAAACCGAGGAGAAAGGCUAAUUAGGGGUUAUCGGAAUUAGGAUAUUUCUUUUUAGACAUUUAUACGAUCCAAUCGUAUAAUCGUAUAUAGAGCCAACUGUUGCGCAUCUGUUUGCUAUUCCGUGAUAUUAUUCCGUAUUUGCUAUUUCAAUGAUACUACCUGUUGAAGAGUCUAACAAACUAGGUGAAUUGCUUGUCUGAAACUAGUAAUUGCUUGUUUGCCGGUCAGCUAAUCAAUUAGAAUAGAGAUGCAUGAUUCCAUGAUAAGAAUACAAAGAGACGAACGUAGAGACGACGUGUCUUCCGGAGACACAUAUCCGCAACCGAACCGAUUUCCUUUACUUUUGCGAUGAGACCUAUUAGUUUUCGUUUUCAAUUAUUAUACUAUCAGUUUGCGUGAAUCUAAAGUUCAUUUCAGAAUGUUUUAAGGAGAUUCUGACAUUUUUUCUGAUAAAAAUAAAAUUUUGAAAAUGGACUCAAAUUUUUGCAUAAAUAAUUUGGACGCUGAUUAGGUAUAUUAAAAGAUUAAUUGAAUAUUUUUUAUAUUUUCGGAAGACUGAAGUAUGUUUAACAAAAAAAGAUAUUUAAGGCAUCAAAAUUUUUUCAGGAUCAAUAUUUAUUAAUGUCAAUAUGAAAAUCAUUCCAUUGUAAUAGUUCCAAUAGAACUAUUCGGAAGGAGUAAAUUAAAAAUAUUUGAAUGUUCAUAUAUGUGAUAUAUACUAUUGAUAUUAUCGUUAUUGACAUCAGUAUUCAUAUAAUGGAGCUUCUCGGAAAAAUUAAUGAUUGUGAUAAUUGUCCCUUUUCACGUAGUAAUUGUUUCACACGAUCGAAUCGACGGAGGAAAUAUAGAAAUUUGUAUAAAGAGAAAUAGAAGGAAAAAGGUUUUUGAUGCGGUGUUACCACAGAUUGUUGAAAGUUGAUAUUCCAUAUGCAAGUCGAAAAGAGUCAAUUGCAGAACAGAAGGAAAUUAUUAGAGAAAAAUAAUAAUGGCUGCUAUAUACAUCCAUUCCUGGCAAACUACUGCGGCAGCGAAAGAACUUCGAUGUUUAUUCGUCGGAGUACAAAGAACUGAUCUGGUAACUCCAAAUCUAAAAGUCCAAGUCAUUCAUUUGUUGAUUUUACACGCUACCAACAACUGCCAUUUUUAAAUUUAAGUCUAAUAGAAAAUAAAUUAAAAUUGUUUGAUAUACCGUCUGUGUUCCAUAGCAUGUAAUGUUUAGCGAAAUCUACUAUUGCUUAAACAGUGAAUAGUUUAACUCGUCGUUCAUUUAUAUCGUUUAAAUGAGUUUAAAAUUAUCAAAAGUAUUAAGUUUGAAGUUUUCACCUUUAAAAAGUGAGAGGGAAGCGUCAGUCAUUCCAAUGUUCGUUUUUAUUGGCAUCACACGCAGCUACGAAACUCAGA